rnacentral:tRNA from 1 species
UGGGUUUGCUCAGCGGCUAGAGCUUACGUCUUGUGACCGGAAGGUCCCGGGAUCGAAUCCCGCCAGAGGCAA